UUAACUCCUAUUUGUAUGGAGUUGAAACGUUUGUCUACGUUUGCUCCUAGGGGCUCUGCUCCAACUGCAUACAAAUUUGAGUUA
rnacentral:pre_miRNA from 1 species